UUAGGGCAAGUCUGGUGCCAGCAGCCGCGGUAAUUCCAGCUCCAAUAGCGUAUAUUAAAGUUGUUGCAGUUAAAAAGCUCGUAGUUGAAUUUCGGGAUCAAUGCGUCGGUCGUGCCUUCGGUACGUACUAGCGUCAUUGAUUCCUCCCUUCUGAAGAACCGUGAUGUCAUUAAUUUGGUGUUACGGGGAAUCAGGACUGUUACCUUGAAAAAAUUAGAGUGUUUAAAGCAGGCUAACGCUUGAAUACAUUAGCAUGGAAUAAUGAAAUAGGACGUUCGAACCUAUUUUGUUGGUUUCUAGGAUCGACGUAAUGAUUAAUAGGGAUAGUUGGGGGCAUUAGUAUUCAAUUGUCAGAGGUGAAAUUCUUGGAUUUAUUGAAGACUAACUACUGCGAAAGCAUUUGCCAAGGAUGUUUUCAUUAAUCAAGAACGAAAGUUAGGGGAUCGAAGACGAUCAGAUACCGUCGCAGUCUUAACCAUAAACUAUGCCGACUAGGGAUCGGAUGAUGUUAAUUUUUUAAUGACUCAUUCGGCGCCUUACGGGAAACA
rnacentral:rRNA from 1 species